rnacentral:rRNA from 1 species
AUUGAACGCUGGCGGCAGGCCUAACACAUGCAAGUCGAACGGUAACAGGAAGCAGCUUGCUGCUUUGCUGACGAGUGGCGGACGGGUGAGUAAUGUCUGGGAAACUGCCCGAUGGAGGGGGAUAACUACUGGAAACGGUAGCUAAUACCGCAUAACGUCGCAAGACCAAAGAGGGGGACCUUAGGGCCUCUUGCCAUCGGAUGUGCCCAGAUGGGAUUAGCUAGUAGGUGGGGUAACGGCUCACCUAGGCGACGAUCCCUAGCUGGUCUGAGAGGAUGACCAGCCACACUGGAACUGAGACACGGUCCAGACUCCUACGGGAGGCAGCAGGGGGGAAUAUUGCACAAUGGGCGCAAGCCUGAUGCAGCCAUGCCGCGUGUAUGAAGAAGGCCUUCGGGUUGUAAAGUACUUUCAGCGGGGAGGAAGGGAGUAAAGUUAAUACCUUUGCUCAUUGACGUUACCCGCAGAAGAAGCACCGGCUAACUCCGG